CAAUCUAAAAUGAAUGCCACAUUGACUUUUUUUACCCCCUUUCCUGAAGGUACAAAAUUGGCAUCAGCUGUCACACUGGUUGCAGCCCUGAUUCACAAGGGGUAAUUGCAGGAUUAACAGCAUGCCCAACUGGUUCAAGGAGAUCACCAUGGGUUCCUAAGUAAGGUGAGAUGAGUUGUGGUGGUGUACUGCAUCUUUUAGCAAUACAGUGAUGACUCCAUAGUUCAGCUGAUGUCCUUUGAUGAUUCAGAGCAUUGUCUUUCGCUCCUAUCUGAUGUAUCCGCACACAGAUAUAACAAAUCUGUGGCUACUGGCUCUACCUGACUUGUGACUUUGUUUCUCUUGCAGGCAGCCUGUGGUGGAUGCCUCUGGAUCACCAUUUACGGUUGGUAUUGAGUUGAUGCAGUUGUACUGCAUCUUAGCAAUACAGUGAUGACUGCAUAGUUCAGCUGAUGUCCUUUGAUUCAGAGCAUUGUCUUUCGCUCCUAGCUGAUGUAUUGAUGUGCUAGUGGCAUGUUGGUGUUAAUAGAUUGAAGCUGGUCUAAUGUGGUGGUCUCUUGUGUAGGACCUGGUGAAGGAGCUCUUGGAAUGAAGCCCCCCUGAGCCUUUUGGUGGUUGAUGCCUCAGCAGCCAUGUCUUCAGUUCCUGCACCAUUCGCCCUCUAGGGAGUGCAGAUGGGAGUUGACCAGGGGCUGUGAAUGAGGAAGUAAGUGUCUCUGUUAGACUACUCUUCUGUUUGGUUGUGGUCUAGCCUGAGUAGUUCCCGACUGCGGGAGCUAUUCCUACAAGACCGUGUAUGAUGCUCCUUUAACACAUACUGACUUUACCAUGAAGUCUAGUUAUUAGCUCUGUCUGACCUGGUCCCAUGCACGAGUGGAGUACCCCUGUCCCCAUGCCUGGAUUCUAAUUUUAUUUUGUGUUCCAUAGGGUGUCUGCUCUGAGUCCUGGUGUGCGGUAUCUCCACCUUGUCGUUUUCCUCAUGUUGCAGCGUCUGAAUCCUGGUGUGCGGUAUCUCCACCUUGCCGUUUUCCUCAUGUUGCAGGGUCCUGGAGGCUUUGGAAGACUGAGCCCUGGGUAAGCACAUUUACUGUUUUUGUAUUCUGUAUGCCAAUCUGUGAUGUAAAGAUUCUGCCAAAUGAUCCAGCUGAUUAUACCCCUUCCGUUCCAUUAUCUUCUGAGGUUGGCUAUGCUUCUGUGUGGUCUGUCUGACCUGAAUUUUUAAAUGUUGCAUUCAAACUGAGUUGCCCUCGACGCUUGCCUUGGUGAAUGUCUAACCCGAUCAUGGUUCUCUUCUGUUACCGAGUCCCGGAGGCUUUUGAAGACUGAGCCCAGGGUAAGCAAAGUUAUUUGAUGUAAAGAUUCUGCCAAAUGAUCCAGCUGAUUAUACCCCUUCCGUUCCAUUUUCUUCUAAGGUUGGCUAUACUUCCCUGUGGUCUGUGCUGGAUGGAUUGCAAGUUGUAUUAAACAAUGUAUUCUCAUUGCCAGGUGCUGUGGACAUUGUUGCUGUUGAAAAUGAGCAUCAGCAUUGGCCUGAACGUUUGACAUUCUGGUGUGAAACGCCCAGACUCUUUAUUAAAUAAAAAC
rnacentral:lncRNA from 1 species